rnacentral:lncRNA from 1 species
CAGAGACAGCUGGCUUUUACCACUCUUCCAGGCUCCCAAUUUCCAGACUCUCAGUCAACUUAGAUUGCAGGCAGCAGGGAGAGGAAUCUGCUGAAAGCAGCAAGGAGCAAUCAGUACUCACCAAUCCUCAAGUUCUCCUAGAGUUACAGGCUCAGAGAGCAUGUGAUAUUCCUGUCAAGGUAUCAAUCUCAGAAGACAGUUUUUACAAAAUCUUCUGCCAGAGCAUCACAAGGGUCACCAGCUUUCCAGUCUGCAUAUCUGUGUUUGCUCCGCCUGACUAUGAAGCCAAUGCCACAUAUAUGACUUACUCUGGAGGAAGCCACCACCAUGUCAGGAGGACACUCAAGCAGCCCUAUAGAGAGAUCCAUGAGGCCAGGAACGGAGGCCUCCUGCCAACAGCCAGCCCCAACUUGGCAGGCGUGUCUUGGACUUAGAGCCGCCAGCCCCAGUCGAGCCUUCAGAUGACCACAGCCCUGGCUGAUGUCUUGACUGCAGCCUCAUGGGAGACAGUGAGCUAGAAAACCCCUGUGGAGCUGUUCUCAAAUUGCUGGCCCACAGAAAGAGUGUGAGAUAAUACAUGCGUAUUGCUGUUUUCAGCUGCUAAGUUUUUGGAGUAAUUUAUUAUGCAGCAAUAGAUAAUUAAUACAGAUUUGAUGAUUUUGUGAUUCUCAACUCCUGGCUAAAGCAAAACACACAGUGAGUCUCAAAGAAAAAUCUGACUAGAGGAAUCAAGAGUACACAGCUGCCCAGGCAAACUUGUGCAGCCAUGUGUGUGCUGGGGUUGGAAGUCACAUCCUACAGCUCAGAUGGAUAAAACUAGCAUCUUUAAUUUUUUUGUACUGUUCUUAUCUUGAUCUGAUGAGACCA